rnacentral:lncRNA from 10 species
AGAGAAUAAAAGCAGGCUGCCCGAGCCAGCAGUGGCAACCUGAUGGGGUCCCUUUUCAAGCUGUGGAACCUUUGUUCUUUCUCUGUUUGCAAUAAAUCUUGCCACUGCUCACUCUUUGGGUCCACACUGCUUUUAUGAGCUGUAACACUCACCGCGAAGGUCCGCAGCUUCACUCCUGAAGCCAGCGAGACCACGAGCCUACUGGGAGGAACGAACAACUCCCGACGCGCCGCCUUAAGAGCUGUAACACUCACCGCGAAGGUCUGCAGCUUCACUCCUGAGCCAGCGAGACCACGAACCCACCAGAAGGAAAAAACUCCGAACACAUCUGAACAUCAGAAGCAACAAACUCCGGACACGCCGCCUUUAAGAACUGUAACACUCACUGCGAGGGUCCGCGGCUUCAUUCUUGAAGUGAGUGAGACCAAGAACCCACCAGUUCUGGACACAAUUUCAAGUCCUCAGGUGCCAUCAAUAUUCUGAAAAUGGCAGUGAUUUUUAUUCAACCUGUAUAAGGCACUUUCACCAUGUACCUGGAAGCAACAUCUACAUCUUUUUCAGCAAUCUAGAUGCUGGGGACACAAGGUCCACCUUCCAGGAAUAUGGCCAUGACACCAGAAAUCACAAACAUGAUGAGAAUGGAAUGACUGGGGAAGAAGUGCCAGAUGCUUCACUUGUAAAUGAAGACCCAGCCUCUGGGGAUGCAGAUACCACCUCCCUGAAGAAGCUGAAUAUCUGCAGAUAAGUGGAGUUCACCAAUGAUGAGGAGCGGGAUGGAGAAAGGAGGUAGGGAGAGUCAUCCAAGGAACAUGAGCAACAUGUUAAAAGUGUAUUCGACACACAGCUGCCUGAUG